UACAGAGGGGGCAAGCGUUGUUCGGAAUUACUGGGCGUAAAGGGCGCGUAGGCGGCCUGUUAAGUCGAACGUGAAAUCCCCGGGCUCAACCCGGGAACUGCGUCCGAUACUGGCAGGCUUGAAUCCGGGAGAGGGAUGCGGAAUUCCAGGUGUAGCGGUGAAAUGCGUAGAUAUCCGGAGGAACACCGGUGGCGAAGGCGGCUUCCUGGACCGACACUGACGCUGAGGCGCGAAAGCUAGGGGAGCAAACGGG
rnacentral:rRNA from 1 species